GACGAACUGUCCUAACGUUGUUCGGAAUCACUGGGCUUAAAGGGCGCGUAGGCGGUCCAUCAAGUCAGGGGUGAAAUCCUGCAGCUUAACUGUAGAAGUGCCUUUGAUACUGAUGGUCUGGAGGGAGAUAGGGGUGUGUGGAACUUCCAGUGGAGCGGUGAAAUGCGUUGAUAUUGGAAGGAACGCCGGAGGCGAAAGCGACGCACUGGAUCUCUUCUGACGCUGAGGCGCGAAAGCUAGGGGAGCAAACGGG
rnacentral:rRNA from 1 species